rnacentral:rRNA from 14 species
CCGUAGUAGCGGCGAGCGAACCGGGAAGAGCCCAAACUUUAUCAGCGUACGAGGCUGCUGCCGCUGCUGAUGGAGGGUUGAACGCGAUGACGGGAGGAGCCAGCAGACUCCUCGCCUGACCCAUCAUGCCCAGCCGAACCGUAUUGGAACAGCGGACCGGAGCGGGUGAGAGUCCUGUAGGUGAACGGGGUGAUGGAGGGU